UACGUAGGGGCCGAGCGUUGUCCGGAGUUACUGGGCGUAAAGGGCGCGUAGGCGGUCACGCACGUCCGUUGUGAAAUCGCUCGGCUCAACUGGGCGGGGUCAGCGGAUACGGCGUGGCUGGAGCAAGCUAGGGGGCAAUGGAAUUCCCGGUGUAGUGGUGGAAUGCGUAGAUAUCGGGAGGAACACCAGUGGCGAAGGCGGUUGCCUGGAGCUUUGCUGACGCUGAUGCGCGAAAGCGUGGGGAGCGAUCCGG
rnacentral:rRNA from 1 species